GUCUUUAGGCUCACUUGGUAGAGCAUGAGCUUCUUAAUCUCAGGGUUGUGAAUUCGAUUUCCACAUUGGACA